rfam:Arabidopsis lyrata subsp. lyrata unplaced genomic scaffold ARALYscaffold_1, whole genome shotgun sequence.
UCCAAGGCUCCAUUCGGAGCCAUUCACAGCCUAAGAAAAAUCCAG